AGACGAGAGGGGUUUUCUGCCAUCUGAUCUCUCACCAUGACACACUGGAGAAGGGUUUCUGCCAUCAGAUCCCUCACCACGGCGGACUUGAGGUUUCUGCCUUCAGAUCCUUCUCUACGGACCGUAUGCUGACGGACUUCCCUGGGCCUGCUACCUGAGACCUGCUGCUUCCUCCCAGACUUACUCUGCGGCUUCUUCCUGGACCCACCCGGUACCUGCACCCUCUCGUUGCCCAAGACCGGCCUCGCUGCUCCUGCCCUUCGGCCUCGGACAGCCGGAACGCCGUGCAACGGGACUGCUGCCGGAUCCUGGUGGUGACUAUCCCCGCUUUACACAAUUCUUGCUUCUUUCUAUCUUUUCUAUCGCUCGCCUUCCCUUCCCCAUCACCCCAAUCCGUAAUAGUGUCCGUCCUCCCCUUUCUUCAUCUCCCUUAUUAACAUUUGUAAACUGGUCGGACCAACAUUUGAACCGUUGUUUCUUAAUCUCACGCCGGGCAUACAUAUUUCAAAGAACCUCCUCUCCCUCCUGUAAAUUGGAGCGAGACAGCAAGGCACAUUGCUGAUCUUCAUUUUAGCUUUUGAUUGUUUAUUCUGCUGGUUAGAAAUAUCUUUAGUUGAGGAAAUGGUGUCCUAAAAGCAACAAUGAAAAUGAGAAUUGUGAAACUAGUGAAUUUUAAAAAUCUAGAUCAUUUUUUGCUGAUCAAUAGCUGCAUGUUUUUCAUAGUGAAUUAUCUUUCCUUAUAUGUCCAGGAAAACACACUUGUAUAUUUUGCUUCUGUGGCAUGAUUUUGAAGAAUAUUUUAUGCACAGUAGCAACAUUAACCUGAUAGAAGCAAAAUAAAUUAAUCCUACAUUCACAUAUAUGCAACAAGUGAUAAAAUAGAAAUUAUUUAACUAAUAAGCCCAUCUCCAAACACUUAUUUUACUCAGAAUUAAUCCUAGGUAAAGGAACUGAAAUUAGAUAGACAGAAUUGUUCCACCUUGUUGUUACCUGCUCUGCAUAUUGCAGUAUGUGUUCUAGUUCUGAGAACAUAAGAGAGAAUCCAAUGUGAGACACAGGCAGGUAUAUACAGCACAAAAGCAGAGUGCAAAAGUAAACAAGGUAAUAGUCAACCUGUGAGAAAUAGCAUAGAAGAAAAAUGCAGAGGACCAAGGUCUACUGCGCUAAUCCAGUGCUGGUACUGUGUUAAGUCCCUGUAUGAUAGUACAUGCUGAUCAAUGCCCGAAGCAUCUCAUAUGGUGUAACUAGUCUUCCUUCCUAGCCAUUUGAUGAUUAAAGCUAACAUUAGCAAAGUCAAAAUGCACCUAAUUAUUAACUGACUUGAACGUUCAGUUGUGUUCCUAGGCACCAUUUGCAGUGUUGCUCCAGUUGGAUUUAUCAGGAUCAGUAAUGCAAAGGCAGGCUCCACCUUUUUGUUACUGUUUCUGACUAUAUAAGUUAAAUUACAUACAUCUAUGAAGCAGAUCUUCCACAUAAAAUCAGAUUUUUCACUUGUUCUUUCCUUUCCUUCAGUAGAUGUUAAGAUAUGUAAAUUAAGCUGGUUAAACAAUGCUCAUUUAAAUAGAACUCUUUUGGCCUGGAUAUUCAAAGGCAAACAUCACUUGUUUCUCAUCUUUGGGCAGCAUUUCUCCAUCAGUAAUGUUUUGCAUACCAACAAGCUGCAAGCUGCAAUGGUUCCUCAUUGUUGUCAUUAAUCUGAGACUAUUUAAUAUAUAUAUGAUUCUUCUGAUAUGCUAUUUUUUUGUUUUAUCUCAUGUUCUUUAACUUAUAAAAUAUUUGCACCCCGACGUAAAUCUUUUUUGUUUGUUUGUUUGUUUUGUUUUUGACUCAAUACAGAAUCAGACUUCUGUUGCUUAAAAGUUAGAAAGAUCAGUAAGUCAUUUCUUUCACUCAGUGUGGUUUCAGAAUUAAACAACUGCAACAAACUGGGAUAUUUGAAGUCUUGGCUGAUUGAUCUCAUUCCUUGAGUUCAAUGCUAUUGUAUCUGUUGAAAUCAGGAAUGUAUAUAGCAACAAAUUACUACAGUUUUAUUAUCAGCUGAUAGCACAGAUUCACGUUCCCUAAGGUAAAUGUGAAAUCUGACAAUGUUUUUUGUGACAAAAGCUUGUUGAACAAAAGCAUGUAAUCGCUACUUGGUAGGAUGCAUAUUCCUUAAAUAUUAAAUAUCCUUUUCAGUACCCUUUACAAUCUGUGCGUUAAAGAAGAACAUAACUCUUGGAACAUACUAAUUGUUUAGAUCCCUGCCUGGUCUUUUUUCUCAAGUUGACAGUAAAUGACAUGCUUAGAAGUUGAUGUGGCACUAAACAUACUGCAGAACAGCAAUGUCACUCUGGUAUACGUUUUUCCACUGUAUUCAAUUGCAGAAGAAGUACCAGUAGCAAACAUUGCUUUUCUACUGCAAUAUGUGUAGAAGUUGUGUACCACCUAUUGUGUGUGUCAUCAUUCCUUCAUCACACAGAAUAUGUGCUGGUUUGCCUUUAUUUUUUUCAGAUAUUUGUCCUUGCUUCAAACUAGUUACUUAAAUUUCCUGAAGGCUAAUUUUUUAUGUAAUCUUUGUGCAUUGCCUUGUUGACUAAGCACUUUGUAUGCAUAAACAUACAUAAAACAUUAUUUUCAUGAUUCAUAGGAGAGUUUGUAUGUACAUACACCUAUACACAUACACACAUGUAUGGUUUCAAUAGACAAUGGCAAGAUGUAGAAAAGGAAUAUAGAGAUCUAUGUGCAUUUGUAAAUAUGUGAGCAUAUAGAUACGUUUGUGUCUAUCUAUGCAUGAAUACAUUGUGCAUAUGCAAGGGAAAAUGCACAUUCCAUAGUAUAACAAGUAGUAAAAUAUCAGAGCAGAAGACUCCAAAAAAUUGACUACUGAUACAUUCAGACGUAAGCAGUAAGAUGGAGGCAGCAAGUAGACAACAUUAUCUGCAAUAUUCAGACAACAAACACAGCAAUUCUUUGACUACAACACCAUGUAAAAGUAAAUGAAAUAAGAUAGAUGAAAUGUGAGCAUGAGUGCAGCAGUUCCAAUUUAGUUAAUUAGUCUGCAUUCAUGCUUCAGUGACAAUGCAAUUAUGCUACCUCAUCCUUUUGUAGGCCUAUUGUGCAAAUGUUGCCAUUAUCUUCCUAGUAGCAUAUAAAACAGUUCAUGAUACGAGCCACCUACAGAGAUGUCAUUACAAUUGUGUCAAUUUAACAGUAUGUUUCUUAAAAUUUAUAAUUAUUUCUCUUCAUGGAAUAGCAAUUUGUGAACCUAUUACUAGUCUUUUUGAAGUCAACUUGGUUAUUUCUUGUCUGUUAUGUUAAACAUCUGCCACUAAAGGUAUGAUAAUUGUACACCUACUUACAAUGUUUUAAAAUAAAACUCAAAGUCUACAUAGAAUUUAUAAUAAUGGUAGAGUUUUUUGAAAUAUUUUUUUUCAAUUUCCAAUAAAUUGCACUAAAUAUUUAGAAAUAUUAGAAGAGCAAAGAAGCAUUAAUUAAUAUACGCACCAUAUAAGUGCUUCAAUUUAAAAGAUACUUCAUAGCAGUUUGUUUUUACUGCAGCAAACCUUAUGUGUUUUUCAUUCUAGAAAAUGUCUUAACACAUGCUGAUUUCAGUGGCAAAAGACUGUAUCUUAACAUGCUGGGUAAAAAACACCUUUAUCCAAGAAACAUUGUAUAUUUAAAGUUUGCAUGUCAAAUACAGAAUCCUGUAACUCUGAGUGAAACAUUCAUAUGAAAUAUUCACUCAUGGUGUUGAAAGCAGAAUAUCUAGAUCAAAAUGAGGUUCUUAAAUUUGAACUACAGAAAUAAUGCCAGCUAACAGUUAGUGGAAGAUUUAAAAAUGCUUUGUUAACCUACCCAUGUUCUUAUGCUUUUCCUACAGAAUAGAAAUUAACAGAAUUAUCAUCACACUCUCCAUCUCCCAGUUUAUCAAGGAAUGAGGUACAUUUCAAAUCUCUUAACUGCUGGAAUAGUCAGUAUUCCAGUAUUUUAGGAGG
ensembl:lncRNA